rnacentral:lncRNA from 1 species
UGGCUGAUAGCAACAACCCUUUUUUAUUUCAUUUGUUUUGUCCUAUUAUAAACAAGAGUGAAGAAGAGAAUGGAAAAAAAAACCAAAUUAUAAAUUAUAGCUUAAUAAAACUACCAAGUAUACCCGAACCUUCUAAAUGUGCUUUAUAUCAUUAUAAUGAAAAUAAGAAUGAAUUAUUUUUACUUGAACGAAAUUACUACAACCCCCAAAUUGAAACAACCAAAUAUGACACUGAUAAAAUAAAUAGAAGUUGUAUAUCUUUAUUUAUUAAUAAUUAUUCAUUGGAAAAUAAUUGUAGUUACUCUUGUUAUCCAUUGGAUAUUUUAUUUCUUUUUAUAUCUAUAAUUUAUUAUAAUUGUACUAAUAAUGAUAAUAAUACAUAUGUAACAUUAGAAAACCAUUUGGAUAAUAUUUUUAAAAAUGAUCAAACAGAUAAAAAAAAAGAAGCAGUAAAAAAUGUGUUAUAUUUAUUUAAAAAAAAUGUAAACAAUGUAAAAGAAAGACUUAAAAUAGUAUGUGAUGAAUUAUUUGAACAUAAUCAAUUAUAUUAUAAACCUAAUAUUAAAAAAGUACAAAAUUUUUAUAAUUAUAAAUGUAUUAUGUUAUAUAAUCAUAUAAUUGAAAAAAAAAUAAUUUUCACUGAUUAUGCUCAACUGGUUGAUAAAAAAUUAUUAGAAAAAUAUAAAAGUAAUAUAAGCUCUCACCGUACUCAUUUAAAUUUAAUGAAUGAUGCGAAAUUAAAAGAAAUAGAUAAAUAUAAAAAAUACAAAACACAUAUAGAUACUUAUUUAAUAGAAUUUAAUAACAAACAUUAUCAAAUUAACGGCACAAAUUUAAGAGCUUUUAUUUGGUUAAUUAUAAAUGGGUUUAUGUGCUUAUCGCUAAAUGAAAAAAUAAUUCCAUCUGACAUACGUGAAAAUUUAAAUAAAGCAAAAGAAGAAAACAAUACAAAAAAAAUGCAACAAAAUGAAGUACCUAUCAAAGGAAAAAAACAUGCCUUACCAUCCCCAAGAAAUCAGCCAAUGAUAGAUUCAUUUUUUAAGAAAGUAAAAAAAAAUUAAGCAACAAUUUGAGCCAAAUAUUG